AUUGAACGCUGGCGGCAGGCCUAACACAUGCAAGUCGAACGAGUGGCGGACGGGUGAGUAAUGUCUGGGAAACUGCCUGACGGAGGGGGAUAACUACUGGAAACGGUAGCAAAUACCGCAUACCAUCAGAUGUGCCCACAUGGGAUGGGCUUGUUGGUGGGGUAACGGCUCACCAAGGCGACGAUCCCUAGCUGGUCUGAGAGGAUGACCGGCCACACUGGAACUGAGACACGGUCCAGACUCCUACGGGAGGCAGCAGUAGGGAAUAUUGCACAAUGGGCGAAAGCCUGAUGCAGCCAUGCCGCGUGUAUGAAGAAGGCCUUCGGGUUGUAAAGUACUUUCAGCGGGGAGGCGUUACCCGCAGAAGAAGCAACGGCUAACUCCGUGCCAGCCGCCGCGGUAAUUC
rnacentral:rRNA from 1 species